AACGAACGCUGGCGGCAUGCCUAACACAUGCAAGUCGAACGAGACCUUCGGGUCUAGUGGCGCACUGGUGCGUAACGCGUUGGAACCUGCCCUUAGGUUCGGAAUAACUCCCCGAAAGGGGUGCUAAUACCGGAUAAUGUCUUCGGACCAAAGAUUUAUCGCCUUUGGAUGGGCCCGCGUUGGAUUAGCUAGUUGGUAGGGUAAAAGCCUACCAAGGCGACGAUCCAUAGCUGGUCUGAGAGGAUGAUCAGCCACACUGGGACUGAGACACGGCCCAGAAUCCUACGGGAGGCAGCAGUGGGGAAUAUAGGACAAUGGGCGAAAGCCUGAUCCAGCAAGGCCGCGUGAGUGAUGAAGGCCUUAGGGUUGUAAAGCUAUUUUACCCGGGAUGAUAAUGACAGUACCGGGAGAAUAAGCUCCGGCUAACUCCGUG
rnacentral:rRNA from 1 species